CACCUCCCAGGAUCGCAUCUGGAGAGCUCUCGGUGCUCUGCCAGCUUCGGAGGCGGGAGGCAGAGGCACUGCAGGCGAACACCCAUUCCCUCGCCAGCCUCCCGAGUGGCCCGCGAGGGAAGGCAGCCUGCGACACGC
rnacentral:snoRNA from 14 species